AAAAUUGAAAUCUGAGUGGUAGAUAUAAAAAAAUUCUUGCCUGCCACAGUGGCAGGUGGUGAAAAAAGUUAAUUUCAGACUCAAUGCUUCAGAUACCCGGAUGCUUGUACAAUAAAGCAAAGGUUUGAAACACAGACUGAGUGCAGACGUACAUGUAAGAGGUGAUGCCAGGACAGCAGGGCGGCCAGUGAAAAAAAAAUAAGCCAGAGAGAGAAGGGGGGAGUAUAGUCUGUUACAUUAAUCAGAGUUAGCAGACAACACAUGUGCUUCCGUUAGCCCCACUAGACCACGCAUCACAACACACGGCUAGGCACGACAUGGCACGGCACAGUAAGCCAGGAGAGGCCAGAGGAGAUUUAAGAAAACAGACUGAAAGGGGCAGAAAAGGUGAGGAGGACAAUGAAGAGAAGAGGAGGAGAAAGGAAGUGAGUCUGAGAUAACACUGAUUCGAGUGAACAGACAACACAUGUGCAACCAUUAUCCAGCGACCUCCUGAGGUCUUAUUGAGGAGAAGGAUCAAGACAAAAAAGGGAGGAGUGUGUCUGGUUUAAAACUAUCCAUUAUUCAAGGAAAGGAUUACUGCAGGAACGGGAGAGAAAGAGAGUGAGACGGACAGAGAAAAGGAGAGAUGUGUAGCACGGUGUAGCUCACUAGGACGAGUGGCUUGUCUCUACUCUCCUCUUUUCCUCUAGAAGACUUUGCCGUGCUCACAUUAAAAAUGGAUGGAUGGAGGGAAGGAGAUGGAGAGCAAGAGCAGUUGAGAGGCCUCGGUUGGACAGUCAACAGUCAGAGGCACGGAAAGACACGAAAGAGGCUAGUCAGGACGUCGAUUUACACAUUUCCAUUAAAACAGAUAAACAGCGAGAGAAGAUGAAGAUGUUUUUAGAAUCAGCAAUGAUCUAAGUGUCAGGUUUCAGUAAGAAGAAGCUCUCCAGCGAACUAACCAGACUUGUCUGGUAAUUAGAGUGUUUCAGUGUUGUAACUCCAACAACUGAGUCUCAUGUGAGGUUUCCAAAAGCACACACUGUACGACCGUAGACUACAGACAACACGAAGACAUCUCAACUUUCUAUACACUGCUGCUCUGCUGCCACAGCAAUAUUGUCUUGUUCUUACAAGAAAUGCUUUAAAACUGUCAGUCUCUUCCCUGAUAAGAUGAGAUAAGCCUUUAUUGAUCCCCUGAGGGGAAAUUCAGGAUGUACAAAGAAAGAGAUUAAAUCUUAUCUAUUAAAAGGGACUAUUUCACUCCAGGGAGUGGAGAAUGAAUUUAGUA